GUUUUUGUAGUGUAGCGGUUAACACGCCUGCCUGUCACGCAGGAGAUCGCGGGUUCGAUUCCCGUCGAGACCGCCA
rnacentral:tRNA from 1 species